rnacentral:rRNA from 1 species
AUGCAACCUACAUGCAACUAUUGCCCCCAAAUUAUAACCUCUGUAACCAGACACAGCACUCUUGAGGACACAAAGAUUAGGCGCACACAAGUGACUUACUUCGUCCUUACCGUUAAUGCAUUUACCAAUAAAGAGAGCAAAGUAAUGUAUAGCAGGAAAAUGAAUGCUCCCUAUGGUAGCUUGUGCUACGUCCCUAGAUUCUCGCACAGUAGUACUAGUAAGAAAAUAUCUAAAUUCAGAUUUGCGAGGCUCAUUGAUAUUACCCCACUAAGGGAGUUUGCAAGCAGUUGUGAAAUCCUCUAA